UCCGUUUAGGGCUUCCGCUCUGCACAAGUAUACAAAAAUUUCCCAUAGUCUCUCUCCUCCUCCUUUUGCAGGCUAGUCGGACUUCAUAGGAACUUCGUUCCGACCGUGCUCCUCUUCCCAUCUCCUCCUUCAAGUACCCUCACUAUCUCCCUCCCCCUAUGCAUCAGGCUUUAGAAUAUUUGCAUAGGUGUGCAGAUGUCGUUAAGCUGUUGGUUAAUGGUGUAGAGCUUCGUUUCGGUUUGGAGCUCUGGUUUUUGUCGUCUAAAAGUGCUCUUUCUAAUUGAAACAGGGAAAAUUCUUGCGUAAAAAAAUCUAACUCUGUUGAAUUAUGGUGAAAUCCGCCAAGUCUCACCACGACGACGAAGAUGAACCUGACGGUUAUGACUCCUCUUCCUACAGAGGCGAACUAGCGAAGGUAGAUGGUAGUAGCAGCGAACAGAAGCUGAAUACGCACAGGUCCAAGCAUUCAGAGACAGAGCAGCGUAGAAGGAGCAAGAUUAAUGAGAGGUUCCAGAUUUUGAGAGAUCUUAUACCUCAAAAUGAUCAGAAAAGAGAUAAGGCUUCGUUCUUGUUGGAGGUUAUAGAGUACAUUCAGUUUUUACAGGAAAAGUUAAAGAUGUAUGAAGGGUCAUACCAAGGUUGGAGUCAAGAGCCUACAAAAUUGACACCCUGGAAAAAUCACAAUCUGCCUGUAGAAGGUUUAAUGGAUCAGUCUCAAGUAUUGAAUGGUUCUGCUCAUAAGACUACUGCCACGCUCACGAAUGUGAAUAACUCAAUUGAAUGUGACCUGGGAACCACUGCAGUUCCAUUUAAUACGCAAGUGCAGUCAAAUAUGUUUGCUGCUGUUGGGAGGGCGGGCGUAACUGCUCAGCCUCUGCAGGAGUCUGUUUCAGAUGCUGAUAAUAUAGCAUACCAACUUCAUUCCCAACUGUGGCAGGAUCGACCAUGUGUUCCUGGGUGUACUGCUCCAGAAAAUAUAUUGAGUGGACAAGGGGAGCCAAUGAUUGAAAGUGGAUUCGUUAGCAUCUCAAAUGCAUAUUCUCAAGGAUUGGAAUGGUGGUUUUCAACAGGAUAUUGGAUACUUUGACCCAAGCACUACGGUCUUCAGGUGUGGAUUUGACCCAGACAAACAUCUCAGUGCAAAUUGAUGUUGGUAGGCAAGAAAAUAGGGGAGCAGGUAUUACGGCAUCAAGUUCAAAGGAUCAAGAAUAUCUGUAUUGUAACAAUCAAGAGAUGGAACAAACUGGAGUUGGGAUUGAUCAGGCUCAUAAGAGACAGAGAACAGAAAGAAGCUAGUGUAUAAUUGUGGUUUAGAUUCAUCCAUUUUAUUUCUUCAUUGGGUUCCUAUUUUGGAAAUGAUGUGCUUUUUCAUGAGGCCCUGUUACACAGAUGACCAUGUCUAGACCAAGUGUACGUGUCUAAUUGGCAAUGAUGCUUUUUCGCUUUGCCUGGUUGCGCUUGUGCUGGUGGCAUCACUUUCUGUUGCGCAGGGAAAAAUAUUACGGGUUAUUUAUUCUUUUACUGGUAGCUCUCGUUUCAUACAGAGGCUUCCAUGUUUAUAAUUGAGAUCUUUCAAUGGUUAUGUCUAGUGAAUUUUUUUGUCC